GAUGAACGCUGGCGGCGUGCCUAAUACAUGCAAGUCGAGCGAACAGACGAGGAGCUUGCUCCUUCGACGUUAGCGGCGGACGGGUGAGUAACACGUAGGUAACCUACCUAUAAGACUGGGAUAACUUCGGGAAACCGGAGCUAAUACCGGAUAAUAUUUCGAACCGCAUGGUUCGAUAGUGAAAGAUGGCUUUGCUAUCACUUAUAGAUGGACCUGCGCCGUAUUAGCUAGUUGGUAAGGUAACGGCUUACCAAGGCAACGAUACGUAGCCGACCUGAGAGGGUGAUCGGCCACACUGGAACUGAGACACGGUCCAGACUCCUACGGGAGGCAGCAGUAGGGAAUCUUCCGCAAUGGGCGAAAGCCUGACGGAGCAACUCCGCGUGAGUGAUGAAGGUCUUCGGAUCGUAAAACUCUGUUAUUAGGGAAGAACAAACGUGUAAGUAACUGUGCACGUCUUGACGGUACCUAAUCAGAAAGCCACGGCUAACUACGUG
rnacentral:rRNA from 1 species